CUCCUACGCGAGCCCUCUCUCAUCUCUCUUUCUUCCUGUAUCUGAACUCCUCAAACUCUAGCAGCCACAACUCCAUCUCUUCCGUUUCUCUCAUCCUAGAACGGAAGAAAUAUGGAAAAUCAGGGCUCUUCCAUUUGCUUCCACAGAUUUCUCGAGCUCCGGAUCACUAGCCUCCGUACGAAGGUAGCAAAAUGAUGUAAACUCGCGAUUUACGGUGGCUUUGAAAGGGUGACUUGCUCUUAUAAAGUUCUGGAAGACAAACUGCUUUGGAGCCAGCAACACUCAAUAGCCAGAACAAUGACCUUUCUCUCCCUUAUCGGAAAAUAAGUGCUUUCAGGAAGUGCUCAACCACAAGUGAUCAAGUAGUGUAUUUUGUGUUUCCCUUCCUCCACUGAGAAGUUUGUGAAAUCGCAGGGGUUGGAACACCACUAUUGGUUUUGAUCAAUUGUCUUAUUCAUGUGGUUAAGGCUGGUGCAUUUAAGUCCCGUAGCAACGCGCGGACAUUUUUGCUAGUCUAUUCUAAAGUUCGAAGGGAAUUGGCCUGUUAAUGGCUACAGUAAAACAAACGCCCCUCGAUUUCAUCUUAUUUGCAAGAAACCCAUCUGAUAUGGGCUGGGUUGGGAGGGUAAUUCUCAAAAGGUCAGAGGGUGAUUUUGUCCAUAUGGUUUAGCACAGAGCCACUCGAUUUCAUGCUAUUUACCACAUUACCAGCCAUAUGGGGCUGGGUUGGGAGGGUAAUUCUUAAAAGUUCACAGGGUAAUUUUGUUCGUUCGGUUUAGCACGGAUUGCUGGGUUACAGGCGUGCGCUCUCCUCUCAUCUCUCACACUUCCUCUUCCUCUCCUACGCGAGCGCUCUCUCAUCUCUCACUUUUCCUGUUUAAGUCCUUCUCAAACCCUAGCAGCCACAACACCAUCUCUGAAAUAGCAUCAGCUCCUGCUUCCUAAAACCAAAACCACACAAACUGGCUUCCAUUUCUGUAACUCAAGAGCUUCGGUGAGAUGAAGGAGAGGAGCAGGGAGAUGGGUUCGAGUCCGCCAACAGCGGAAGAGAUCUUCAGGGAUUACAGUGCUCCGAGAACCGAUGCCGUCCACUCUUUAACUAACGCUUAGACCAUCACGAUUCACCAUUAUCACCCCAGCCCUGCCGUCGCGGCCACAUCACCGCCGUCGAAAACACUACCAUACCAUCAUCCUGCAACAGAUUAGGGAGAGAAAAUAUAACCAUACCUGUGUGGUUGCUCUUCAAAUUGGUGCAUUAUUAACGAAUGGAUCACGUCAGAGAAUCAUAUGCAAGACAAAUCCCAAACCUUUCUUUCCAUCGUCCAGAUCGUGUCAAAGGCUGGGCAUCAAGCUGCUUUGCCCCUCUCCAUCUGAUGUUGCCCCCUUGGCAGUUCUAUCACUACUGUGAAAGGGCUGGAGCUUUUUGGCGUCAAACUUAGUGAUGCUUCAUAUAAAUUGGGGAAAAAAAUUGCUACCAGAGCCUCUGUUGUUAAGAUUCUCAUUCGGUUGCUGUUUUAAAUUUGGGCUUUCAUUUGGUAGAGCAUCCUUCUCUCCAAAAGAUUUUAUUUUGAAGUCCGAAUAUGCCUAUAGAACCAUAUAAUUAUGGGAGCGAACCAGUGCGCCGAUCAAAGACGUUAAGGCUGCUCUCAUUGAUAGCAAUUGGGACAUUGAGGCUGCUCAGAAGGAAUUGAGGAGGAAUUUUGGCGUCGAAAAAGUCAUCUCGGAUGGCUGCUGGCUCUGGCUCAAAAUGAGAACAAGGCUGCUAUUAUUGAACUUAACUGUGAGACUGACUUUGUUGCUCGAUAUCUUUCAAUACUUGUCUUUGGAGUUGGAGGCUUUUGCCUCUGUUGGGUUUUUUUCCAAUAACUUAAAUGGCCUAAAGACACAGUAAAUAGGUACAUUUUAAAUUCAUAUUUCAUAACUUGGUUGCUUGAUUCUACUGCCACUGUUCAUUGGCUUCUCCUACGAGAUAGCAGGGGUAUAUCACUAUGGAAGAACUAGAGCAAGUCCUCCACGAAUAUGGCUUACAUGGUGAAUUUUAAUAUUUCCAGGUACAACCAUAUCUCACUCUCUUUGCCACUCAGCCUUAAGACCCGAUUUUCACCCGUGCUUCAGCCAAAACAGGUGCUCUCUCCAAUUUUCAUCUCUUCCAUACUCAAACCCUAGCCGCUCCACCUACAACUCAAAACCUCGACAAAACACAAUUCCCCUUCUGCAAAAGCUCGAGAGUUUUCUCUCUUUGAGAAUUAAAAAGUGUUAGAAACAGUGCUUCCAUUGGAAUCGACUCACCAAGAGCCCUUCUCUCUGCCUGAUCCCAUUCCUCAAUGGCAUGUAGUUGUGGCUAUGAAAGUUUGCUUUAUUUGGUUAUAGCAUAUAUAUUCGAAGCAACAAGAAGAAUUGGAUACGUGGCUUCGAAGAAUUGGAUACGUGAGGCGAUGUGUUGUCUGUUGUAUCUCAGGGUUUUGGAAAAUUAUCUUUGGUUGCUUCAUCGGCGGCUCAGUCAGCUGCAAGUGUAGUCCAGGCAGGCAGGCACAAAAGAGAUUACUACUAAGCCAAAAGAAAUCGAAGAUGCAAAACUGGUAAUUGAAGCUUUAAGAAGUAAAGGUAUUUCUGCAAUUGGUGUUGUAGGCUUUUGUUGAGGUGGUCCUGCUCACACCAACUCAUCUAGCCAUUGUGAUGGAGUACGCGGCUGGGUGAUAACUUUUCGAGAGAAUAUGCAGUGCUGGCAGAUUUAGUGAGGAUGAGGUUAAGUAGUUUCAAAGGCAGAGAAAAUUUCAUUGUAAAUGUUUUUGGCGUAGAGUCUGAAAUAUGGGAUCUCUGAAUGUCCCCUGAAAUGGAAUCCAUUUCGAUUUUCGUUUCAGAUAGGGAAAGUUAGGUCUGAAGCAUAUUUUUACAUAACAGUCGGUCAUAAUAUAACUAAAACUUCCAUACUUUUUCGAUUUAAUUGUUGUUUUGCAUCGGGCAAGGUUUUUCUUCCGGCAGUUGAUAUCAGGAGUUGGUUACUGUCAUUUGAUGGUAUGUAAUGUGGCAGUUUUAUGCUAAUGCGUCGUAUACUGUUAUUUGUUUCUCUUUUGAUAUUGGAAGUGUUGGUUGUAGCAUACGACUUAGUUUCAAUAGCAUACGACUUAGUUUCAAUAGUAUAGACUCGGUUUUUGAAUAACACUCUGGUGGUUUUCGAUUACAACUAAGUUUUCUAAAUGCCAAUUACAGCUCUAACGAGGAUGGAGAAGCCAUCUUGGAAUUUGUCCCUGCAUUCUUAGUAUAGACUCACUUAAUUAUAAAUAACACUUACAUGUGCUUAUUUCACUUUAUUAAUUUUUGCAUUCCAAUUGUUCUUUAUCUAUGGCGAUAACUGUCUGAGAACGAAACAAAGUAAAAUUCCGUUCUUGGCUCUCUUUUUCUUUAAUGUAGCAUCUGUUUACCUGUUAAUGUAAAUUUGGGUUAUGUUGGAUUUUUCAAUUUGAUUCUUCAAAAUCUCGCCAUUGCCCGCUCUCAUUUCCCCAAUUCAUCUCUGCUCUCUCUCUCUUUUUUUUCUCAGAUCCCAUAACUCUCUAACAUGAAAAAUAGAUCUCCAAAAUGAAAAGAGUUGGCCUUCUCCCUCUCGGAACUCAUCCCCAUUUCACAGCAACUCCUUCCUCCCAUUUAUUGUUUUUCUCAUUUCUUUCGAAUCCCAUGUCUCUGUAAAACGAAAAAUACCUCUUUCCCCCACAUUUUUUCUCCUUUCCACAACUGCUUCUUCAUCCUCGCUAAACGUGGCAUCCGUGCUGCAACUAACAGCCCAGCUAUCUACACACCUCCGUGUUUCUCGAACACAACCAUGGUGACAGGAGUGGAAAAACUGAGAUGCAAGAAGCUGUGUGAGGACCCCCAAGAGUUGCAAAUCCGAGCCGACCUACACCACGCGCCUAUCUCUACGGAAACCCGAAACCCUUCAACUUCUGCCAUGGAAAUGUGAAGGUCCUCGAUCUGGAAGCCUAACCAUGACAAGAAAAAUGAAAACCAACUACAAUGUAGAUCCGGUUCCUGCAAAAGAUCCGUGACAGAUCCGAGAAAGAUAAAUCUCAGCUGAAAAUCCACUGGACAGAAAGCAUGACACAGCUUAAAAAUCGUGACCUAUUGAUUAUGAAGUAAAUUGUGCAGGACGACAAUCUGAUCCCGGAACAAAGGAAGGAAACAGGACAGCUCAGACAUCACAGAUCCACCUCCUAUACGAAGGGAAUGCAGAUUCAUGAUAGAGCCCAUGGGAAGGAAAGUGGAUGGACAAACAUCAGCUUCAAUAGACAAAAACGACACAAGCUUCCAAGAGCCCAGAUCGGUGAAUCUGGGAGGUAAAAUUCCAUAGCCUUGCAAGUUGAAUUGUUGUAGAUCUGGUAAUAAUAGCUGUACUCAGUUCUGUGGUGUAUGGAUAUGUGAUUUAACUGUGGUUCUCCUCCAUGCAUCGCAAAACUGAGCUGCAGAAAAUUAACUGCUCAAAAUUAUGUCUCUGUGCUGGAUCUGCAACAAUCUCCCCCAAACUUGCAUAUGUGAAUGACUUGUUAUGUUGACUGCUUUAAAUUUCCAGCAUAGUGUAGAUGUGGUUGAUGUGAACGUUAGACUUGCUGCUGGGUGCAGGAUUCCAGCAUAGGACGCGCUUUAUUUUCCACGUUCGCAACCUGCAAUUAACCAAUAUGCGUCAAAAAAUUAAAA